rnacentral:rRNA from 1 species
GACGAACGCUGGCGGCGUGCUUAACACAUGCAAGUCGAACGGAGUGGCGAACGGGUGAGUAACACGUGGGUGACCUGCCCUGCACUUCGGGAUAAGCCUGGGAAACUGGGUCUAAUACCGGAUAGUGUGGGAUGGGCGCGCGGCCUAUCAGCUGGGUGGUGGGGUAAUGGCCUACCAAGGCGGCGACGGGUAGCCGGCCUGAGAGGGGGGACGGCCACAUUGGGACUAAGAGAGGGACCAGAAGCCUACGGGAGGCAGCAGUGGAGAAUAUUGCGCAGUGGGGGGAAGCGUGAUGCAGCGACGCCGGGUGGGGGAUGACGGCCUUCGGGUUGUAAACUCCUUUCACCAUAGACGCGGUAGAUGGAGAAGAAGCACCGGCUAACUACGUGCCAGCAGCCGCGGUAAUAC